AGGGUUUGAUUCUGGCUCAGGAUGAACGCUAGCUACAGGCUUAACACAUGCAAGUCGAGGGGCAGCAUGAACUUAGCUUGCUAAGUUUGAUGGCGACCGGCGCACGGGUGAGUAACACGUAUCCAACCUGCCGAUGACUCGGGGAUAGCCUUUCGAAAGAAAGAUUAAUACCCGAUGGCAUAGUUCUUCCGCAUGGUAGAACUAUUAAAGAAUUUCGGUCAUCGAUGGGGAUGCGUUCCAUUAGGUUGUUGGCGGGGUAACGGCCCACCAAGCCUUCGAUGGAUAGGGGUUCUGAGAGGAAGGUCCCCCACAUUGGAACUGAGACACGGUCCAA
rnacentral:rRNA from 1 species